UGGAAACUUGACCUAUUAACUACUGUGAACACUGCCUCUUACAGUGUUUUAGCUAGUCAGUGUCUGGCUUUGUAACCUGGGCUAGUGGGAGUCGAUGCCACUCGACUGUCUGUACAGUCAAGAUCAAUCAGUCUGCGCCCAGUGCAACUUGAGCAGGCCCGUUAUCCCAGUCACUGGCAGUGACAUCCACCUUCCAGUGCCGGAAGAUUCCACCAGGAACAGAUGGCAUCAACAACGAUGAUAAGAACAGGUGCCCUCAACAAGGCCGCUGAGCAGGAGAGGUGGGGCUUACUAGGGACAAGAUGCUUUGUUGUAUUCAGAUUACUGCUAACGUACGGAACACAAGUCUCAGAAGCAAGAUGACGACGUCUGAGAAGCCUGAGGGGAGCCAUUACACCUCAACUGCAAGGUGAUAAAGCAGGCCUCUCUCAAUUCUGCCAAGGCCAGCAGGCGGCAGGUGAAGCCCUGGAAGGGGUUCUGGGGGCCCUGGCUGGAACCCAAGGCCCGUGUGCUCCUGCCCUGAAUCUCCAGCCACUGCCGCCCCACAUUGUUCUAAACCACUCAGCAGCAAGAUCACAAACGGCCAGAAGCUCUCCCACACCCCCUCCCUGCUUUAAGUGGCAUGGGAGUGACAGCUAGAUAUUUAGCCCAUUAAGAGCCUGAUCCAAAAGGGUCCUUAGGAAGUAAGAAUUCUCAAGAAGUUGGGGUUCGGAGGGUAAUACUGUUAGCCUACUGUACCACCCAAAUCAUGCCACAUCCCAGUGCUGGACACGGCCUCCGUCCGGUGCCUCCAGUAAGCCCCACUCCCACCACCUACGGGGACGAUGAAGCUGUAGCUAGAACAUCCCUGGGAAGGCCGAGUUGAACUUACUUUUUAAACUAGCAAUGCCUUUUCUGUGCUACAGUCUCCCAUUUUUUCCUGCAACCGACAUUUAUGCAGUUUCAAUGAUGAAAAGUGGAAAGACUCUGACUAUGAGGAUAACAGUGGACAGGAUUGGAAGCAGUGCAGAAUAUCUUCCUUCCCAUGUUAUCUCUGAGGGUGACGAACGAUAUUAUGCAUUAAUCUGAGACAUUAAAAACAUAAACACACACUCUCUCUAGACUAGUCAACCAGGGAUGAUUUGCUCAUCGGGACAUCUAGCGAGGUCUGGAGACACUUUUUGUUUGUCAUCAACUUGGGGAGGAAUACGACUGGCAUCUAACAGAGACAAGCCAGGUGUGCUGGCAACCAACCUACAAUGCACACAACUAUCCCCACAGUAAAGAACGAUCUGGCCCCAAAUGUCAGUAGCAUCAAGGCUGAGAAGCCCGGUUCCAGACCACGUGAGAGGUAUUUCCAGUCUUCUUCAGAGGGAGCGUUUCUGCUGCUCUGCCUUUCAGGCAUUUAAAAGUGUGGGAAAGGAACAUGCCCAGACCAGACUCCAGGGUGACCUGAGAAAUGCAAAGCCAGAAACUACUCAUCACAAAGUGAAUUCUCAGCUACAAGAUGCUUCCUACACAGGAAACUAAGUGGUAACCUUGGGAAGGAAGGUUGGCCAAGUAUAAAACCAACAGAAGAGAGAAAAUGAGUAACUCACCGGGAGU